CAGCAUUGACACUAAUUCCAUCACGGAAACCUACUAGUUUUUGGUCAUGAAAAAAAGCAUGAUUUGGAGGGUUUAUCACCUUGAUCUUAGAUUUAGAUUCACUAUGUUUUGCCUAAGUUUUAAAACAUUUUUUCCAAUACUAAGUUCACAGUAACUCUAAUAAGAUCUUCAGAUUUAGAAAAAGAAAACUAUGACAAACUAGAAGAUAUAUCUUGCAAGUAUACAAGAGAUCCACAUAUUUAAAUUACCUUAUCAAGGAAAAUAGAUGAAUUAUUGUUUUCUAAAAUUUGUAAUGAAAAUGUUUGCUAUUUGCUUAUCUAGAGCAGUACACUAGCACACUUUUGACAACACCAACAUUCACACCAUUGACGUGUUGGGACCACCAACAACAUAAGGUGGGCUCGAUCAUAAUGAACAGGUGCAAUCUUGGGUGUUCUGGAAAUGAGUGUCAGGUAUUUUUCUUCUAUUAUUGGUAUUCUAUGUGCAUUUGUUCUUUAUAAAUAUUAUAUGUUUGAUAUUCUCUAUUCCUAUAGUCCAUUCACUGUCAGCAUGUAUAUUUAAGAUUGAGAAAACCAAACAUCUGAUAUGAAGAACUCAAACUAAACCUUCUGGAAUGCAGCAUAUUAACUUCAUUCAACUAUUUUCUGAGGCAGCCCCUCAAGUAAGC
rnacentral:lncRNA from 1 species